rnacentral:rRNA from 1 species
UAAGACUCCUGGAAGAACACCAGGUUGAUAGGUCAGAGAUGUAAGCAUGGCAACAUGUUAAGUUGACUGAUACUAAUAAGUCGAGGGCUUGACCAAAUAA